rnacentral:snRNA from 1 species
GUGCUUGACAGCACAUGUACUAAAAUUGGAACAAUAUGGAGAUUAGCAGGGGCCCUGCACAAGGAUGAGACACACAGAUUUGUGAAGCAUUUCAUAUUAAA